rnacentral:rRNA from 1 species
AUUGAACGCUGGCGGCAUGCCUAACACAUGCAAGUCGAACGGCAGCACGGCAGUAGCAAUACUGUGGGUGGCGAGUGGCGGACGGGUGAGGAAUACGUCGGAAUCUGCCCAGUCGUGGGGGAUAACUAGCCGAAAGGUUAGCUAAUACCGCAUACGACCGAGAGGUGAAAGCGGGGGACCGCAAGGCCUCGCGCGAUUGGAUGAGCCGACGUCGGAUUAGCUAGUUGGUGGGGUAAAGGCCCACCAAGGCGACGAUCCGUAGCUGGUCUGAGAGGAUGAUCAGCCACACUGGAACUGAGACACGGUCCAGACUCCUACGGGAGGCAGCAGUGGGGAAUAUUGGACAAUGGGCGCAAGUCUGAUCCAGCAAUGCCGCGUGUGUGAAGAAGGCCUCGGUUGUAAG